CGUAGGUAAUUUGAGAGGAGCUGUCCUUAGUACGAGAGGACCGGGAUGGACACACCGCUGGUGUACCAGUUGUCUUGCCAAAGGCAUCGCUGGGUAGCUAUGUGUGGACGGGAUAAGUGCUGAAAGCAUCUAAGCAUGAAGCCCCCCUCAAGAUGAGAUUUCCCAUAGCGCAAGCUAGUAAGAUCCCUGAAAGAUGAUCAGGUUGAUAGGUCAGAGGUGGAAGCGUGGCGACAUGUGUAGCUGACUGAUACUAAUCGAUCGAGGACUUAACCAAAC
rnacentral:rRNA from 1 species